ACACCUCAACUCUCACGGUUUGCCGUGACGAGCUUGGACUUUGGGGGCUUUGCCGGCCUGUGGUUGGCUCCUCUCAAACGAAUCAGCUUGCCAGCGUUUUGGCAGCGUCACGGGUGUGAUAACUAUCUACGCUCGCGAUCGUCUGCCGAGUGACCUUCGGUGAUGGAGGUUCGCUGAAGCUUACAAACGUCUCUCCUCGGCGAAGACAGCUUUUUGAAC
rnacentral:misc_RNA from 2 species